AAGCACAAUUCGGCCCUUGAACGAACCGUGUAUCUUAGGCUGCUUCUUGCCCAUUACCUCUCCCGACCCUGAUCUCCGCCCCACCACUAUUCCGUCCAGACUCCUCCAGGGGAUCCACAGCCGUAAUUCUUCCCUCCUACCUUACCGCGGCCACGGCGCUUCAGGGACCCACCUCCCCUAACAGAGCGGGCGUGGCCUUAGUUACAAGGGCGCCCCUUAGCAACCAACUAGGCCGCGAAGCCCCGUAUUUUCCCAGCCAGCCUUUCCAAGCCCCAGGCGCUUACAGGUCGGCGCCAAGCGCGCUGAAGCCUGCGUUGAGACAGGAACGGGCGAGGCGCCUCCAGAGAACAUCCCGAGAAGUGAAGCGGCAAAGGCGGCGGCAGGUCUGGCCCAGGCGGCCCAAGGCCCGCGCGUCCAGAACUGAACAUCUGAACCAAACAACCCAGAAGAACAAAUACCCUGUUGUUCCACAGAUCUUCUAGCAUGAGGCUACAUAGAAUGCAAAUCCAUAAUUCCCUGAAGUCAGUGGAGCUAAACGUUGAUGAAGAUAAUAUCUUCAUACUGUGCCCUUGAAAUGGAUCUAUUACAUGUUAACCAUUUGUAGCUGAAAACAAAACUUUGUUCUUCAUCAGUCACAUGAUCAUCAAAGACGCACAGGAUGUUCAGAAUGUGACAAGAGGUUGGGAUACAGUCUUUGUUAUGAUUCUUGAAUGGAAUAAAAUAGCUGAUGCUAAAUCAUAUGCUGCAAUGUUUCCACUGGUAUAUGACCAUAUAUGUGUUAAGUAUCCUUUGGAACCUGAUAAUAAUUGUAGACUUCAAUGCCAUAUAACUUGCUGACAAUAUUCCAUCAAUAAAGCAAAGCUGAAAACAAA